AUUGAACGCUGGCGGCAGGCUUAACACAUGCAAGUCGAGCGGGGGAAGGUAGCUUGCUACUGGACCUAGCGGCGGACGGGUGAGUAAUGCUUAGGAAUCUGCCUAUUAGUGGGGGACAACAUCUCGAAAGGGAUGCUAAUACCGCAUACGUCCUACGGGAGAAAGCAGGGGAUCUUCGGACCUUGCGCUAAUAGAUGAGCCUAAGUCGGAUUAGCUAGUUGGUGGGGUAAAGGCCUACCAAGGCGACGAUCUGUAGCGGGUCUGAGAGGAUGAUCCGCCACACUGGGACUGAGACACGGCCCAGACUCCUACGGGAGGCAGCAGUGGGGAAUAUUGGACAAUGGGGGGAACCCUGAUCCAGCCAUGCCGCGUGUGUGAAGAAGGCCUUAUGGUUGUAAAGCACUUUAAGCGAGGAGGAGGCUACUUUAGUUAAUACCUAGAGAUAGUGGACGUUACUCGCAGAAUAAGCACCGGCUAACUCUGUGCCAGCAGCCGCGGUAAUACAGAGGGUGCGAGCGUUAAUCGGAUUUACUGGGCGUAAAGCGUGCGUAGGCGGCUUAUUAAGUCGGAUGUGAAAUCCCCGAGCUUAACUUGGGAAUUGUAUUCGAUACUGGUGAGCUAGAGUAUGGGAGAGGAUGGUAGAAUUCCAGGUGUAGCGGUGAAAUGCGUAGAGAUCUGGAGGAAUACCGAUGGCGAACGCAGCCAUCUGGCCUAAUACUGACGC
rnacentral:rRNA from 1 species